UUGGUUACUUUGGCAGCACAAAUACUAAAAUUGGAAAGAUAUCCAGAUCAGCUUGGUCCCUGUGCAAAAGUGACAUAAAAAUUCCUAAAGUCUUUAUGUUUGUU
rnacentral:snRNA from 1 species